rnacentral:rRNA from 1 species
UAAUUUUUAUAAUUAGUUAAUAUAUUAGUGUUCAUUUAGGUAUAACAUUAUAAAUAAAUAAUUUUUAAUUUUUAUAUUUUACAGAAGCUAUUAUUAAUUAAACUAUAUUAGUAUAUGAAUAGUGUCUGGCAAAAAAUUAGUGCCAGCAGCUGCGGUCACUCUUUUGGGUUAAAAAAUAUAAUAAUUGAUAAUUUUUAGAUUUUAUAUUUAAAAGGUCGAAUUUAAAUGCGUUAAUUGUAAAUACAGAUUAGAGACCUGUUUAUAGUUUAAAAAUAUAAUAAGAAGUUAAUAAAAAUAAAUUUAUUAGACGGAUUUUGAGAAAUAGGGAACCUUGUAGCUUAAUAAGAUGGUCCUCUUUAUAUAUAUAGUUAAUUUAUAAAGGUUGCAUAUGUUCGAAUAUUGUGCCUAAGAAUGGUCUUGAUAGUAUUAAAAAAAUAAUUCAGAUCAACAUACACUUUUUUAACUGAGUUUAUUAGGUUUAAUUAUUUUUUUAUAUUAUAGAUUAGAAAAAUUUUAAGAAAACUUAUAAGUAAUUUUAAAUAAAUAAGUUACAAUGAAAAUAGAAAUAGUACUCACCGCCCGCUGAGUUUUUAGAAAAUUAAGGCGUAACAAGGUAGUUUAUUUAGAAAAAUUAACUAGU